rnacentral:lncRNA from 1 species
GUUGCCCAGGCUGAUCUCGAACUCCUGGACCUAAGCAGUCCUCCCGCCUCAGCCUCCCAAAGUGCUCAGCUUACAGGCUUGAGCCACCAUGCCCAGCUUCAACCUAUUCUUUAUGGGCCAGGUAAAUACCUCUUCCCCCAGGAAGCCUACCUUGACCGUGUUAGCCCAUUGAGCUCUCACCUGCCUUUCUCUUUGUAUUACCUAUUCCACUGAUUUGCCCCUGAGCACGGACAGCCCUGGCGUUUAUGCGGACAUCUGCCUUGUUGUCUCAGGUAGAUGAUGGGCUCCACGGGAACAGAGCAAACGUUCGCUCCUGCUCCUACACGGUGUUUCCUCUAAACCUGAGGCUCAGCCGACUUGUCAUCACUUAAAACCCAAUUCAGAGCGGGGGGGCACUGCCAGUGAAUAGUUCAUCACCGACUCAGUUUCCCCAUGUGUAUGCUGUGGUAUUGGAUCAGCAACGAGAUAAGAAGAUCUCUCCCAUUUCCAAGCGUCUAUGAUGAUUCUGAGGCACAAGGUCACAUUUGACAGUACUAGGAAACCCAGGAAACAAGAAGCAAAGAUGACAAAGGCUGUGUCUGCCUGGGCAGACGAUCUAUUUGGACAAGAUAAUAGACCCAGGCAUGGACAUGCUCUCCAAGAAAGAUGCCCUGACAGCUGCUCACACUGAAGCUGAAUCGAACAUUCCAAUCCUUAGAGGUUCCAGCGAAGAUCUUGAAGUCUCCCUGAGCCAUUGACACAAUGGCCAUGCCAUCCCAGUGAUAAAACACAAAUUGUGGCCUUGUUUUGGACAGAAAUAAAGAGCCCAGUUUGUUAGUGAUUUACUGAUAAUAACUGAAUCGAGUACUAAUACUUGGCGAUUUUAAAAGCCAUCAUGUUAAAAAGACCACCUGAUUCCCAGUGACCCUGCAGUGACUGGGUUUGGGCAGCUCGUCCCCUGCACCUGUUUGGGGCUGUGCCAGCCACUUCCAGUGAGAACAUCGCAUUAACUUGCGGUCGCAGACCUGGCUGGACCCCUUGAACCAAAUUCCUUUCUGACCUUAUCAGACCCCAAAUAAAAGAGCUCACCAGGCCCCUCAGCCUACGUGACCCACCUGCCCAGUGAAAAAAGUAGGGCCCUGUUCUGUUCUCUGAGGAUGGUCAGUGUGCUCUUUGAUGAAAACGGUUUCUAAGCUGAGGCCUGAGACCUAGAUCAUUGUUCUCACAGCGUGUGCUUGACCAGCCACACCAGAAGCACCCAGGCUGCUGGCUAAAAACACUGAUGCUGGGGCCCACCCUAGCCCCUGGGUAGGGGGUAGAGACCUAAGGUUUGGCAUUUUUACAAGCUCCUAGGGUGAUUCUUAGAUGCCCUGAUGAUUGAGAACCACUGCUCGAGCUUCUUAAAUGGCUGCUGAAGAAUGAUUCUUGCCAACCGUGACCAGUUCAGCAGCCUGCAGACAGAAACCUGUCACUUUGAUCAGGUGAGCUCUUUAAACUAGUACAGGCCGGGCACGGGGA